AUUAAUAUUAAACAUCACAGUCCUUCCCUGUGUAGGUAGACCGCAGUGUAUAAUUGUGAUAAAUGAACUUGACAUUAAAAUAGUGCUGUAAGUGAAGACGUGAGCGUACUGUGAAUAUUUCUAUAUUCAUCAGUGCUGCAUGAGGAGCCACAAUACUUUAAAAAAAAAGAAGAUGUAACUACAUUGUGUAUUCUAGUGUACAUGGUGCACUACAUGGCUCCCAUCGUGUUUAUUUACCGCUUAACAAGCAGCAAUUUUGAAAUUUGAAUUCAGUGGGUGUCUAGCAGAAGGCAGGAGAGCUAAACCCCCCCAGGAGGACUCUUUUUCGCCACAAAAACAGUUCUAUUUUUUUUUUAAGGGAUGUAGCCAAACUGUCAGGGAUUAAAGACAAACCACAGCAGGUAACCUGCUCUAUCACAGUCCAGCCAUAAUUUGAUGCUGUGAAUUUGACGUGCAGGCGUCUAUGUGACAUAUCUAAUAAAAAAAUACAUCUCAGCUCUCCAUAUCCUGCAAGCUAGCUGAGCGUAUGAAAAAGAAAUACACCGCGUUUAAUAAGUCAGAUAACAUGACAUCAGCUGACAUAUCGGAGUAUUAAAUUCCAAUCCAUGAAGCCAUCGCACAUAAAUCCGAGGGCUAUGAGACUCCGAGGAUUGAAGGGAUGGUGAACGUUAGAUUUAUUACCACACGGUGAGAUAAAGUUCCAAGCUUUUUUAAAAAAUGAUGGAGGGACCGUGUUUUGGCUGACUGCUGGGUUCUUUUAAUUAGCCGAGUAUGACCAAGGUCAAACUCAAGGAAACUCUGCAAAGUGGAAGAACAUGUGUAACACGUAUUUAUGCCGCUGCUGCUGCUAAAAUGUCAGCUUCGGUGCAAAUUGAUAUUAUAAACCACUGAAAAUGGCAAAUUGAUUAACCCUUUGCCGUCAUAGCUAAAGUUGUGGCUACAUCAUCUCUUUUUGCACUUUAUUUCAUCUUAACGAACAGCCAACGUAUCUGCAGUGGAAACAUAAAUGGAUCUGUGUUCACUUGUGCAGGGUGUAGUAAGGGUGUGGGCCAUCGCCGGACAGAGGCAAUCAGGUUAGAAGCAGAUAAGAAAAAGUGCCGUCUGGUCCACCCCAGAUGUCAUCACAGUAUGCUAAUGAGGCAGAGGGGUCCUUUAAGUGCCGGAGACCAGCACCGAGACCAGUUAGGAGACCGUGAACCCGACUGAAGGAAAGACGCAACCGCAUGAGAUCACAAACACAGCAAGACCUCGCUGCUCCAUCGCUACGUCUUGUGCCCUGGACAGGAUAUCAUCUUAUACUGUAAGUUUAUAAUAGAGACACUACAGUAUAGAUGAUGUACUAUCCAGGGUUUCAUUCCCUCUCCGGCGCUAUCAGCACACGCUCAGGCCCAACCGACUGAAGACCCGACACAGUGCAGAGGACGGCCGUCAAACCGUUACCAUUACUGAGUUUUAGUAAUGGUAAGGGUUCUACGGCCUUCGCUCAAUGUCAUCGAGGAAGGCGACGGAGAAAAGGAGAAGCUGGUGGCUGAUGUGUUAUUCAUGAGCUUUCUGGAGGACAUGUUUUGAUUCCGGUUUUUGAGAUGCAUGUAAAAUAAAGCUUACGGUUCUCAAA